UCAGAUCCAAGAAAUGGGCUUUCCUGAGCAAAGCCUCAGUCUCGGCUGAGCAACGGUAUUUUCUGGUAGACAAAGGAAAUGCUGUUUUUUUCUUUCCUGGGCUGGUUUCCUGACGUCCACUGCUUGUCCUCUGCCUUUGGGUUCUCGCCGGAGACCACCAACAUUCUUCAGACACAGUGAAGUAAAGCAGGAGAGUUUCAGAGCGCUGGGGGCCCCCCGGGACUGUCCCAGCCUGAUCCCAGGUUUGCUGUGGAUCGUAAGCACGACAGCGUGAAACUCGACAGAUUCUUCUGGAAUUCUCUGUUUGUUUUCCUUGUGAUCUGACUCACAUAAAAUUUAUUUUAUUUCUUCUUCCAAACUCCUAGGGAGUGUGGUCAUAUGAUUCAAGCAGAGGAAAACAUUGUCAAAAUAGGAUCAAGAAGUUAUCACUCGUACA
rnacentral:lncRNA from 1 species